ACACUCCUACGGGAGGCAGCAGUGGGGAAUCUUGCGCAAUGGGCGAAAGCCUGACGCAGCCAUGCCGCGUGAAUGAUGAAGGUCUUAGGAUUGUAAAAUUCUUUCACCGGGGACGAUAAUGACGGUACCCGGAGAAGAAGCCCCGGCUAACUUCGUGCCAGCAGCCGCGGUAAUACGAAGGGGGCUAGCGUUGCUCGGAAUUACUGGGCGUAAAGGGAGCGUAGGCGGACAUUUAAGUCAGGGGUGAAAUCCCGGGGCUCAACCUCGGAAUUGCCUUUGAUACUGGGUGUCUUGAGUAUGAGAGAGGUGUGUGGAACUCCGAGUGUAGAGGUGAAAUUCGUAGAUAUUCGGAAGAACACCAGUGGCGAAGGCGACACACUGGCUCAUUACUGACGCUGAGGCUCGAAAGCGUGGGGAGCAAACAGGAUUAGAAACCCUUGUAGUCCCAUGA
rnacentral:rRNA from 1 species